rnacentral:rRNA from 1 species
AACCUCCGCAAUGUACGAAAGUGCGACGGGGGGAUCCCAAGUGUUAUGCUUAAAGGUAUGACUUUUCAUUAGUGUAAAAAGCUUUUAGAAUAAGAGCUGGGCAAGACCGGUGCCAGCCGCCGCAGUAACACCGGCAGCUCGAGUGGUAGCUGUUUUUAUUGGGCCUAAAGCGUUCGUAGCCGGUUUAAUAAGUCUUUGGUGAAAGCUUGUAGCUUAACUAUAAGAAUUGCUGGAGAUACUACUGGACUUGAAGUCGGGAGAGGUUAGAGGUACUACCGGGGUAGGGGUGAAAUCCUAUAAUCCUGGGAGGACCACCUGUGGCGAAGGCGUCUAACUGGAACGAUCUUGACGGUGAGUAACGAAAGCCAGGGGCGCGAACCGGAUUAGAUACCCGGGUAGUCCUGGCCGUAAACGAUGUGGACUUGGUGUUGGAAUGGCUUUGAGUUGUCCGGUGCCGAAGGGAAGCUGUUAAGUCCACCGCCUGGGAAAUACGGUCGCAAGAUUGAAACUUAAAGGAAUU